GACGAACGCUGGCGGCGUGCUUAACACAUGCAAGUCGAACGGAAAGGCCCUGCUUUUGUGGGGUGCUCGAGUGGCGAACGGGUGAGUAACACGUGAGUAACCUGCCCUUGACUUUGGGAUAACUUCAGGAAACUGGGGCUAAUACCGGAUAGGAACUCCUGCUGCAUGGUGGGGGUUGGAAAGUUUCGGCGGUUGGGGAUGGACUCGCGGCUUAUCAGCUUGUUGGUGGGGUAGUGGCUUACCAAGGCUUUGACGGGUAGCCGGCCUGAGAGGGUGACCGGCCACAUUGGGACUGAGAUACGGCCCAGACUCCAACGGGAGGCAGCAGUGGGGAAUAUUGCACAAUGGGCGGAAGCCUGAUGCAGCAACGCCGCGUGCGGGAUGACGGCCUUCGGGUUGUAAACCGCUUUCGCCUGUGACGAAGCGUGAGUGACGGUAAUGGGUAAAGAAGCACCGGCUAACUACGUG
rnacentral:rRNA from 1 species